rnacentral:rRNA from 1 species
CUGUAGAGAUACAGCUUCCCUUCGGGGCAGAGUGACAGGUGAUGCAUGGUUGUCGUCAGCUCGUGUCGUGAGAUGUUGGGUUAAGUCCCGCAACGAGCGCAACCCCUAUUGUUAGUUGCCAUCAUUCAGUUGGGCACUCUAGCGAGACUGCCGGUAAUAAACCGGAGGAAGGUGGGGAUGACGUCAAAUCAUCAUGCCCCUUAUGACCUGGGCUACACACGUGCUACAAUGGUUGGUACAACGAGUUGCGAGUCGGUGACGGCGAGCUAAUCUCUUAAAGCCAAUCUCAGUUCGGAUUGCAGGCUGCAACUCGCCUACAUGAAGUCGGAAUCGCUAGUAAUCGCGGAUCAGCACGCCGCGGUGAAUACGUUCCCGGGCCUUGUACACACC